AUGGCGAUGGGGUGAAAAAGAGGUGCUAAUUUAACUACAUGUGCUCUGAAGAGGGCAGGACUUCUGCCCUGUCUCUCCUAAGCAAUGGGCCCUGGUCACUACCUGGCACCAUUUAAGCCAGUAAUAUACUACUUCUAAUCAAAUUUGGGCUAUUGUAGAUUCUGCACUUGUCUCGUUUAAGUUUGUGGCUAACCUUUCUCUUUACUUGUUCCUGUCUGAAUCUGUGUUCUCUUGCCUAGCAGCUGACGGAUUAGUUGAAGAAGUCCCAGAGGAAUCACAAGGAAGACUGGGAGGUCUGUGUGGCAAGAAAGGCAAAAAUGGAAGGGAAGGCCAUGGUCAGCAGUACAGGCCUUGCAGCCAGAAUGUCCAGGGAGGCCAAAAAAACUCAUCUAGCAGAGGUGGCCAAGAUGGUCGAGGUGGCCAAAGAGGCUCGGAUCAUGAGGAAGACCAGGGCAGCCAGGGUAGCCAUGGUGGCAGACGUGGCCAGGGUGGCCCUGGUGGCCAGAGAGGCCAGCAUGGAAGAGGUGGCCAGGGUGGUCAGCACAGUGGCCAAUGAUAAGGAAACCCAACUAAAGAUGGUCUCCAGUGAUUCUCUAGAUUUGCCCUUGCCAUGAUUCUCCUUAACUCAACCUUACAUACAGAAGAGUCCCCUCCAUUCUCACAAAAGAAAGUAAGGCUUAUACACUGAGCUGGGGUUUAGUUUUUGACUCCAUUAUUCAUAUAUUAGCCUACAGCCUCCCCAGUUUCUACCUCUCCUCUCCUUUCCCUUCAUCUCCUGUCUUGUCCUCUUCUCCUUUCCUUAUCCCUUCUCCUGCCCUCCUCCUCCUUCAUCCCCCUCCCCACUCCUUCUUCUCCUCUCUCUUAAUAUGAUAUCUUGUAAUAAGACUACUUAAUGGUAGAGAUGUGUAGGGGAGGAAGAACAUUUUUUUUUAACUCACUCUAGGUCCUUCUUGCUGGGCUAUUAAUUAAACUGACAUGAGACAGAAUUACAGGAGAAAAUUAAACAAAGCUUUAUAACAUUUAUACAUGGGGGAUGCUCAGGAAAACUGAGCAACUCAACAAAAUGGCCAAGCUGCCAACUUAAAUAUCAUCUUCAGCUAAAAACAAAGGAAUUAGUGGUUGGGAGUAGUAGUUUUUGACUUCAAAGGGGAGGAAGGCAAUUCACAUGGAAAUAGAAAAUCA
rnacentral:lncRNA from 1 species